UUAGUGUUGCUGUUGUUACCUGUUAUUAAAAAGUCUAAUCCGAAAUCCUUUAAAAAUGUAUAUUUUACGAAAAAAAUUAAAGAAAUAAUGCUAAUAAUGACAUUUUCUUUAGAUUAAGUUUUUUUCUAACAAUAUUGCACAUAAGUAGAUUAUUAAUGCAUAAAUAUUUAUUAUGAUUUAUUUCAAUUUUUUAUCAUCUGAUUAAAACUUAUCGCUACCUAUUGAUAUAUCAUUAAGAACCAAACUGAAGUCAACAAUUAAUGAAGAGCACGUUCAAUGUACCGAAUCAGAAUGAUACCAAAAAUAUCAUUAAAUACUCUGAAGAUUGUAGAGACACUUGUAGUGUUGAAUGCUGGGAAGGCAAGGUACAUGUCUACAGUGAUGCAGAAGGGAUCAGAUUUCUUUUUCAGGCAGUUAUUCGACACAGUAAGUAGUACAUACACAUACUUACUGGGUGAUGUGAAAACACGAGACGCUGUGUUAAUCGAUCCUGUUCUAGAGCAUGCGGAGAGAGAUGCUGCAUUGAUAAGGGAACUUGGGUUUAAUUUAUUGUAUGCGAUGAACACUCAUAUGCAUGCUGACCAUGUAACUGGUACUGGGAAGCUGAAAUCUCUUAUCCCCGGUUCCAAGAGUGUGAUAGGCAAGGCGUCUGGUGCUAAAGCUGACUUGCACAUUGUGGAUGGAGAUUUGGUCCGCUUCGGAUCUUACCAGUUAUUGGCUACUGCUACACCUGGACAUACGAACGGAUGCUUGACAUAUAUUUGUCAUGAUCAGGGUAUUGCCUUUACCGGCGACACGCUGCUGAUCAGGGGUUGUGGCCGCACUGAUUUUCAAGAAGGAUCACCGGAGUCUUUAUAUAAUUCAGUGCACACAAAAAUAUUCACUUUACCCGAUCAUUACACGCUUUACCCGGCUCAUGAUUAUAAAGGACAAACAGCAACAACCGUGGCGGAGGAGAAGAAAUAUAAUCCGAGAUUGACAAAGCCAUUGAAAGAGUUCAUUCACAUCAUGGAUAACUUGAACUUGCCUUAUCCUAAAAUGAUUGGAAUUAUUAUUUUAAUAUAAAUAUGUCACAAAGUGUACAUAACAGGUUCAACUAUAAACUAACAAUAUGUAUGGAAGAUGUAAAUAAAAGUAUCUUGCAGUUCUCAAAAUAGAUAAAGCCGUGCCCGCGAACCGAGUAUGUGGUAUAUAUUGAUCUUGUAAUACUGCGAACGGAUUAUCGUUUUACGUUUGUAUAACAUGUAAUCAGAAUUUAUUAUAUAUUUAAAAAACGUAACUUUAUAUAUAUAGUAACUUGCAUAACAAAUAACACAGCUACACACAGUUAUGGAGGCCCGCUUGAGCGUGACGCCCUUUCGACAAGACGGAGUGGGUACCGCUGGUUUUUUAGUGGGUAUUCCGGCGCCUUCAGUGCCGGCGAGCCCCACAUACCCCCUCCAUCCAUGCUUGGGAAACGCGUAAAUGCGUUUUUUCCGCGAAAAAAAAAGCUAUACACAGUUAUAUUAUACAGUUAACAAGUAUGUAGGUCCGUUUUUUUUUUGUAUAGAAUAGAAAGGCGGACGAGCAUAUGGGCCACCUGAUUGUAAUUGUAUAUCAUUUUUGUUUUAUUUUGUUCUUGUUUUUUUUUUGUGUUAUAGAAGAAGAAACAUUAUUAUAAGCUUGUAGAAAAAAAGUAGUUUAUAAUUGUUGUAUAUAACAAAUAAAUAUAUUCAGAUUUAUAAUUAUAUAAUAAUUAUUUAUUGAAUGUUAAGUAAUAUAUAAACGAAAAGUUAACAUAAUGGAACUUUUAUAAAUAGACACCAUUAUCAUGUCGAAUGACGUCACGACAAAAUGUCACACUUUGGAAUAUCGGUAUUCAGUUAUUUCUAUUUAAAAAAAAAUUUUUUUUUUUUAAUUGACUUGCUGUUGGCACAAGUGGUCUCGACAGCGUCACUCGUGUGUAUUCACUUUGUUAUUUAUAAUAUAAAAUAUUAGUUUUGAUUAGUUAAUAUAAGUUAUACAUGUCAUGUCCACUUUAUUUUAGGAAAUAAAGUGGACAUGACAUGUAUAACUAUAGGAUAGGUCCUAUAGUGGCGUCAAUACAAAAUAAGGGUGUCUAUUUUCUGAGUACAUAUAAAGUUGAAACCUUUUACUGAUUUUGUGAUUUAUUGAAUAAAGUUUAAUUGAAAUGUUCCUAAUAUCAAAUCAAUAUUUAAUAAGACAUGUUAUUUACCGAUUGUUAUAAAUGUUAUAAUAUCUAUUUUUAGUAGAAAGUGUAAUAAAAAUAUUUUUAAAGUUG